CCUGCAAGGAUGGAACACACACUUAAAUUCACUUCUGGACCGGAUUGACUCACAAAAAAAAAUCCUCUACAGCAGAUCAUUAACUUUCCCCGAUUUUUUACACAAUUGUAAAAGCUUAUUUUAACACUUUUUCGGGACGACCCAGGCCACGCCCACCUAGGCUAUUCAUAGAGGUCGAUGCACUAACGCAGCUCUCUCGCUCAUUCAACACAGCGGCAGAAGGUUGAUUCUCAACGAUCUCCUAUUAUCCUCGUUAUUUCUCUAUAAUAUGCCAAUAUGCCAUAAUAUGCAAUAUGCCAAUAAUUUUUUAAUUUUCUUUCUAAACACCAUGUAUGUGGUGGAGCAAAAAAAUCAACUGUCAUCCUCUUCUCACUCGGGAGCUGUGUGUGCAGCUUCUUAGGCCUAGGCACCUCAGUUAGUUAACAGCUUAAUUGACAACAUUGGUCCCUGAGGCAAAGUUGUUCAGAAUGAGGAAAUCUAUCAUAUGAUUUGAAGAUCUAGUGUUUUUGAUUGAAUAUAUGAGCAUUUUCAAACAAUUUUAAGCUUUAGUUUUUCUUUUUUCUCUAAAUGAAAUUGUCAAUUAAAUACCUUACGUAAGUUUAUAUAUUCCCAAAUUUAACAUGUUCCUCAUAAUUUAUUUUUUUAUUAAUGCUGUGUUUUUUUUAAAUGCUAAUAUAUUGUAAAUAUAAUAUUUUGAACAAAUAGAUUUAAUAAAUAUUGUGUAAAUAUCUUUUGGCCCUGUAUGGCUGUAUAUUUCUAAUGUUUGAAACCUUAUGAUGUGUAAACAUAAAACAUUUGACACUUAUCCACCUGUCGAGCUGCUCUCAAUUCGCUGUGAUAUUAUUUUUGGAAGCGCUUAAAAAAUGCUGAUGAAGCGCUCAUUUCUCUCUCGUCUUUCUCUCUGUUCUUUGGCCAGAGACAUAGUUUAUAAAUGAGAUCUGACCCGGUAAUAAUAACAUAUGUUGGUUUAGCUUGUCAGUGUGAAUGAAAUGUGUAGCCUAUUUAUUUGUCCGAUCUCGCCCCGAAACGCGGCUGUCAUGUGGACUUCAAAGGUUCAGAGAAAUACAUUGCGAGCUCGCGGACAUUUGGCUGCCGCGAAUAUAUCAUGUUAUUACUUUAAACAGUUCAGAAACAUCUGAAUUUAGCUCUUGGUGUGUUCUAACGUGUGGAUUGCGUGAAAUCGCUGUUUUUAAAGGUCUUAAAUAAGAAUAAAUUCGCUCGUUGUGAGCUCCGUGUAGACAAUUUUUGGGUCUGUGAAGAUUUUAAACUAUAUACAAGUACACAAGCCUUUUAUCGCGACGUUUCGACAACCUUCUGUGUCUUCUUCAGGCAUGACUUGUGUAAAAUACAUAUUUUCUUCACUGAGCUCAAUUUAAUUUUUACAUUUUAUUUCUAAACACCAUUUAGAAAUUUCAUAAAAAGUGUUCCUUUAUAGGUUAGCUCAUUCUUUUAAUGUAUAUGUAUUCAGAGUGACCCAGACUUUCACUGUAUUCAUUUUCAAGUUAUUUUACUGUAUAGUUUUGGAGAAAACUAAACGCAAAUUCACCCGAAACAUCAAACUCCAUUGUUGCAAUUGUACUUUUUCCUAUUUUUCAAAAUUCAUAAAAAGGGUUGCUUUACAGGUUAGCUCAUUCUUUUAAUGUAUAUGUAUUCAGAGUGACCCAGACUAUCAUUGUAUUAAUUUUCGAGUUAUUUUACUGUAUAGUUUUGGAGAAAACUAAAAGCAAAUUCACCCAAAACAACAAAAUGCAUCCUAACAAUUGCAGUUUAUCCCAUUUUCCAAAAUUCAUAAAAAGUGUUCCUUUAUAGGUUAGCUCAUUCUUUUAAUGUAUAUGUAUUCAGAGUGACCCAGACUUUCACUGUAUUCAUUUUCAAGUUAAUUUACUGUAUAGUUUUGGGGAAAACUAAAAGCAAAAUCACCCAAUUGCAGUUUAUCCCAUUUUCCAAAAUUCAUAAAAAGUGUUCCUUUAUAGGUUAGCUCAUUCUUUUAAUGUAUAUGUAUUUAGAAUGACCCAGUAUAUGUAUUUAGAGUGUUCAGAAGCGGGCAAUUUUUUGCAGGGCUGUUUUACCCAGGGUUGUUCUGGGUAGGGUUAGUGCCUGUCCGAGACUGGUCAGUACAUGGACAAUAAGGAGAGGGUUGAAAUGGUUAGGUUUAGGUGCUGGUAGGGGUUGUUUGUCACAUGGUGAAGAUGUCUGACUCUGACUCUGAAUCUCAUAUAUUAACUCGCUCUUUUGGGACAUUUCUACAGUUCCCUUGUCUGAAUUUUAUGAGGUGGAAGAAGUUAUUGGACGAGGAUAUUUCGGCAAUGUGCACAAAGGGAUCCGUAAGUCUGACGACCAGCAGAUCGCCAUCAAGUUCAUAAAGAAGCUUUAGACAGGCCGUUUUCCAGACAGGUUCAUCGCAGUGACUCUGUAGAUCUAAGGACAAAGAGGAAGGCGUUCGACAUUGUGAUGGCAGUAAGGAGACUUGAGGAGGAGAAGAGGAUUCUUAUUGCAGAGAUGAACAAGCAUUGGAAGUCUCUUUGCUCCCGUGCAGACACCCUGAAGCAGAUGUCAUCCCAGCUUGCUAAUGUGACAUCAGGUGAAACGUGGGGCCUGCUUCAAGAUGGUAUCCGAGGUCUAAAGAGCUUGACAUUGAAGAACAAGCAAGCAAGUAACAGCCUGGCAAAGCAUGCAAAGACAUUUUAUGUUCAAGUUCUGACUGAAACAGAAAUUAACUUUGAUAGUCAUUCUGAGGAAUACGAUACCAGUAGUGACUCUGAGCAAGAUUUGACUUUUCUUUUAAAUAUAUAUAUUUAUAAGUUUCUGUUGUUCUAUCUAUUUUAACUUCUUUGUGUUCUUUUUGUUAAGCAGUACUAUUAUGCUCAGACUCUUUUUUCCAUAGUCAUAUGAAAUAGCAAAGUUUUGCACUGAUGAAAUCCCUGCACUGUUUACUUUUGCACUACCACCACUGCAAAUCACUCCACAGCUGCCCAUCAUUUAUCACAGGGUCAGUCCCUACCAGGUCUUUGUAUUCACUUGACAUGCUCUUCACUUUUUACAUUUGUGAUUUUUGUUAUGUGUCAGAGCUAUGUAUGUUGUUUUUGUGAUUGUAUAAGCUAAUAAAUGCUUUCAUGCUUAAAUAA